rnacentral:rRNA from 1 species
AGUGAACGCUGGCGGUAGGCCUAACACAUGCAAGUCGAACGGCAGCACAGUAAGAGCUUGCUCUUACGGGUGGCGAGUGGCGGACGGGUGAGGAAUACAUCGGAAUCUACUUUUUCGUGGGGGAUAACGUAGGGAAACUUACGCUAAUACCGCAUACGACCUACGGGUGAAAGCAGGGGAUCUUCGGACCUUGCGCGAUUGAAUGAGCCGAUGUCGGAUUAGCUAGUUGGCGGGGUAAAGGCCCACCAAGGCGACGAUCCGUAGCUGGUCCGAGAGGAUGAUCAGCCACACUGGAACUGAGACACGGUCCAGACUCCUACGGGAGGCAGCAGUGGGGAAUAUUGGACAAUGGGCGCAAGCCUGAUCCAGCCAUACCGCGUGGGUGAAGAAGGCCUUCGGGUUGUAAAGCCCUUUUGUUGGGAAAGAAAAGCAGCAGGUUAAUACCCCGCUGUUCUGACGGUACCCAAAGAAUAAGCACCGGCCAACUUCGUG